rnacentral:lncRNA from 1 species
UUUGGCUUUUUUCAAUCUUUAUUGUUAUUCACAAGCACUGUUAUAGUAAUACAUACACAAGCAUGAAGACGCAAGAGGGUGUGAUAGUUCAGGAGGUUUUUGUUGUUUGCAGCAAAGGAAGAGUGAAGGAAGCCAAGGUCAGAAGAAAAGGUGAGCUUUUGGACUGACACUCUCUACUUCCCAGUGAGAUGUAGCUGUCUGUGCUGCCCAGCAUCAUUUGGUACAUUUAUAAGGCCUUUUGUGCUAGUACUGUUGUUUU